rnacentral:rRNA from 1 species
UACGAAGGGGGCUAGCGUUGCUCGGAAUCACUGGGCGUAAAGCGCACGUAGGCGGAUUCCUAAGUCGGGGGUGAAUCCUGGAGCUCAACUCCAGAACUGCCUUCGAUACUGGGAAUCUUGAGUCCGGGAGAGGUGAGUGGAACUGCGAGUGUAGAGGUGAAAUUCGUAGAUAUUCGCAAGAACACCAGUGGCGAAGGCGGCUCACUGGCCCGGUACUGACGCUGAGGUGCGAAAGCGUGGGGAGCAAACAGG